GCCCUCGUUGUCUAAUGGUCAUGACGUCAGACUUCUAUACACGAUGGGCAUCUGGAGGCUCCGGGUUCGAGUCCCGGCGGGGGUA